AUUUCUUUAGUAUACUAGUACAAAUGCCUUCCAAGCAUUAAGCCCCGCCAGGGAAGAAAUA
rnacentral:tRNA from 1 species